rnacentral:rRNA from 1 species
GGUGAACGCUGGCGGCGGGCCUAAUACAUGCAAGUCGAGCGAACAGACGAGGAGCUUGCUCCUCUGACGUUAGCGGCGGACGGGUGAGUAACACGUGGAUAACCUACCUAUAAGACUGGGAGAACUUCGGAGAACCGGAGCUGAUACCGGAUAAUAUAUUGAACCGCAUGGAUCAAUAGUGAAAGACGGCUUUGGCGUCACUAUUAGAUGGUGCCGGGCCGCAUUAGCUAGUUGGUAAGGUAACGGCCUACCAAGGCAACGAUGCGUAGCCGACCUGAGAGGGUGAUCGGCCACACUGGAACUGAGACACGGUCCAGACUCCUACGGGAGGCAGCAGUAGGGAAUCUUCGGCAAUGGGCGAAAGCCUGACGGAGCAACGCCGCGUGAGUGAUGAAGGUCUUCGGAUCGUAAAACUCUGUUAUUAGGGAAGAACAAAUGUGUAAGUAACUAUGCACGUCUUGACGGUACCUAAUCAGAAAGCCACGGCUAACUACGUG